rnacentral:rRNA from 1 species
GAUGAACGCUGGCGGAGGGAGGAACACAUGCAAGUCGAACGGGGAAGCAGAGCUUGCUCUGUGGAUCAGUGGCGAACGGGUGAGUAACACGUGAGCAACCUGCCCCUGACUCUGGGAUAAGCGCUGGAAACGGCGUCUAAUACUGGAUAUGAGCUGCGACCGCAUGGUCAGCAGUUGGAAAGAUUUUUCGGUCUGGGAUGGGCUCACGGCCUAUCAGCUUGUUGGUGAGGUAAUGGCUCACCAAGGCGUCGACGGGUAGCCGGCCUGAGAGGGUGACCGGCCACACUGGGACUGAGACACGGCCCAGACUCCUACGGGAGGCAGCAGUGGGGAAUAUUGCACAAUGGGCGAAAGCCUGAUGCAGCAACGCCGCGUGAGGGAUGACGGCCUUCGGGUUGUAAACCUCUUUUAGCAGGGAAGAAGCGAAAGUGACGGUACCUGCAGAAAAAGCGCCGGCUAACUACGUG